CCCUAGUAACUGCGAGUGAAGCGGGAAAAGCUCAAAUUUAAAAUCUGGCGGUCUUUUGGCUGUCCGAGUUGUAAUCUAGAGAAGUGUUAUCCGCGCUGGACCGUGUACAAGUCUCCUGGAAUGGAGCAUCAUAGAGGGUGAGAAUCCCGUCUUUGACAUGGGCUGCCAGGGCUUUGUGAUGCGCUCUCAAAGAGUCGAGUUGUUUGGGAAUGCAGCUCAAAAUGGGUGGUAAAUUCCAUCUAAAGCUAAAUAUUGGCGAGAGACCGAUAGCGAACAAGUACCGUGAGGGAAAGAUGAAAAGAACUUUGGAAAGAGAGUUAAACAGUACGUGAAAUUGCUGAAAGGGAAACGCUUGAAGUCAGUCGCGUCGUCCAGGGAUCAACCUUGCUUUUGCUUGGUGCACUUUCUGGUUUGACGGGUCAGCAUCAAUUUUGACUAUUGGAAAAAGGUCAAGGGAAUGUGGCAUCUUUGGAUGUGUUUAUAGCCCUUGGUCACAUACAAUGGUUGGGAUUGAGGAACUCAGCACGCCGCAAGGCCGGGUGUUAAACCACGUACGUGCUUAGGAUGCUGGCAAUAUGGCUUUAAUCGACCCGUCUUGAAACACGGACCAAGGAGUCUAACAUGCCUGCGAGUGUUUGGGUGGAAAACCCGAGCGCGUAAUGAAAGUGAAAAGUUGAGAUCCCUGUCGUGGGGAGCAUCGACGCCCGGACCAGACCUUUUGUGACGGUUCCGCGGUAGAGCAUGUAUGUUGGGACCCGAAAGAUGGUGAACUAUGCCUGAAUAGGGUGAAUCCAGAGGAAACUCUGGUGGAGGCUCGUAGCGAUUCUGACGUGCAAAUCGAUCGUCAAAUUUGGGUAUAGGGGCGAAAGACUAAUCGAACC
rnacentral:rRNA from 1 species